rnacentral:rRNA from 1 species
AGCAGUCGCCACGGUAAUACGAAGGGGGCUAGCGUUGUUCGGAUUUACUGGGCGUAAAGCGCACGUAGGCGGACUUUUAAGUCAGGGGUGAAAUCCCGGGGCUCAACCCCGGAACUGCCUUUGAUACUGGAAGUCUUGAGUAUGGUAGAGGUGAGUGGAAUUCCGAGUGUAGAGGUGAAAUUCGUAGAUAUUCGGAGGAACACCAGUGGCGAAGGCGGCUCACUGGACCAUUACUGACGCUGAGGUGCGAAAGCGUGGGGAGCAAACAGGAUUAGAUACCCGAGUAGUCCCUGUCUCUUAUAC